UCUACGAGUCAACUGCAACUAAAUUGCAGAAGGAUAUAUGCACCUAUGCAUGGAGCAGUUCAAUUGAUGAGGAGGAAAUUCUCUACUACUCCAAAUCACAUGACUUCUCUCUACAACGGAAAGAGUUAUGGACUCUAAACAAAGAUGAAUGGAUCAGUUGCUUUGUUGUAAAUAGUUGGGUAAAUUACUUGAAUUGGAGGCAACGAAAAGGACAAAUGACAAGGCUUGUUACACGAUAUAUCAAUCAUCAAUACAUGGAAAGACCGGAUGCACUGGAAAUAGAGC